ACAUGCCUACAAUAUAGAGUUAAUGCACCAGAUCCCAUUAAAACUCUGCAAUUAAAGGCACUCAGGCUAGAGUGGUAUUGGGAUGGGUGACCACCCAGGAAGUCCUAGUGUUUUACAUGCC
rnacentral:rRNA from 1 species